UUCAUUUUUUCUCACUCUCCACUCUCUCACACUCUUCUCCUACCCCUCCCCACGAGCUGCUGCUCCUCCUAAGCUUCAUGGCCGGCCAUGGCCAUGGAGAUUCACCAAGAGGAAGCUCUCCCCCUCCCUCAAGCUUCCCCUCACCAUGAGAGCUUCCCUCUCACUCUCUUCUCCCCUAAUUUUUGAUGAAUCCAGCUCUCUUUCUCCUUUCUCCUCUCACUAUAUUGGAUCUUGAUGCAGGUGCAUGUUGGUCCAAGCAUGGAGAAGGUUGAGCUAUCCUCAGAUCUGAAGUUCUUGAGCAAAAUCCAAAUAGAGUGAUUCAAAGUUCCGCAGAUAGGUAUUGAAAAGAUAUACAACUUGGAGUUGGUCUCAUCCUCAAAUUCCUUACGGAUUUUGCAUGAUAAAUAAAGUUCUGCAAACAUGCAGAAUCACUGUUUGUUAGAUUUCUUCCGUUUUACAAAACCUUUUUGAGCAAACUCAACUGUGGGUGAAAUCCCUCUCCAGUACCUUCAUUUUGGCGUUGGUUUCACUUCAAAUGACCUCCAGAAAUUGAAGUGGUACACAGAUCAAGAUCUGGUCAGAUCUGACUUUGUCGAAUUAAACCAGGAGUUUGGAAACGAAUUUUUGAAUGAAACCAAUUGGAUGCAAACAAUUCCGGAGAAGAAGAAGAAGUGGAAUCGGAUGAGAAGAUUAUUUAUAUUGUUGGAAUUCUUAUAUUGAUGGAGUUGAAGAAGUACAGGGACAAAUAAGCCAAG